rnacentral:rRNA from 1 species
UACAGAGGGGGCAAGCGUUAUUCGGAAUUAUUGGGCGUAAAGGGCGCGUAGGCGGCCUGGCAAGUGGAAGGUGAAAUCCCUCGGCUUAACCGAGGAACUGCCCUCCAAACUGCUUGGCUUGAGACCGGGAGAGGUGAGUGGAAUUCCCAGUGUAGCGGUGAAAUGCGUAGAUAUCUGGAGGAACACCGGUGGCGAAGGCGGCAUCCUGGACCAACACUGACGCUGAGUGAGCGAAAGCCAGGGGAGCAAACGGG